UGAGGAAUCUUGCGCAAUGGAGGAAACUCUGACGCAGCCACGCCGCGUGCUGGAAGACGGCCCUAUGGGUUGUAAACAGCUUUUGACAGGGAAGAACCUGGAGGUUUCGAUCUCCACUGACGGUACCUAUCGAAUAAGCACCGGCUAACUCCGUGCCAGCAGCCGCGGUAAUACGGAGGGUGCAAGCGUUGUCCGGAAUCAUUGGGUGUAAAGGGUGUGCAGGCGGAAGUCUAAGUCGGAGGUGAAAUCUUGCCGCUUAACGGUAAAAGUGCCUUGGAAACUGGAUUUCUUGAGUUCGGAAGAGGUUGGUGGAAUUCGUGGUGUAGCGGUGAAAUGCAUAGAUAUCACGAAGAACACCAGUGGCGAAGGCGGCCAACUGGUCCGACACUGACGCUGAGACACGAGAGCGUGGGGAGCGAACAGGAUUAGAUACCCCUGUAGUCC
rnacentral:rRNA from 1 species